rnacentral:lncRNA from 1 species
GCGGAAGUGAAGAAUCAAGAUUACAUCACUGACACGGAAAGUUGACGAUUCAACGGACAAUAGUCAAUACGCUUCCCAACACAUUCCAUGGAUUUUUUACUAAUCCUAUAGUUUAUUGUUAGCAAGUGAUUACUGUGACGGCUAUUGUUAACACUCGUAUUGAUAAAAUUUGCAAGCGAUUGUUUUUAUAAUAUGUUAUGUGAAUGUAAACUGCCAGAAGAAUACGACAACAUGAUUUUAUGCGAUCUCUGUGAUGGUUCUACUUUAGAUGUGUAGAAUAUGACACUAGUCUAAGUAUAACCUCAAAUUACUCGGUUAUGCAGACUGCGCACACCACCAGCUGCUAAGAAGCCUAAAAUGUGUAUGUAAUUUUGUCUCCUUGUAAUAAAUAAAUAAAUCACACAAUAAAUCUUUUCAACUUGC